rnacentral:rRNA from 1 species
GACGAACGCUGGCGGCGUGCCUAAUACAUGCAAGUCGAACGCAGUGGGGACGGGUGAGUAACACGUGGGUAACCUCCCAUCAGAGGGGAUAAAACUUGGCAACAGGUGCUAAACCGAUACUGAUUGAUGGACCCGCGGUGCAUUAGCUAGUUGGUGAGGUAACGGCUCACCAAGGCCACGAUGCAUAGCGGGUCUGAGAGGUGGAGCGGCCACACUGGAACUUAGACACGGCCCAGACUCCUACGGGAGGCAGAAGUAGGGAAUCUGCGGCAAUGGACGAAAGUCUGACCGAGAAACGCCGCGUGAGUGAAGAAGGUUUUCGGAUCGUAAAACGCUGUUGUUAGGGAAGCGGUAUCUAACCAGAAAGCCACGGCUAACUACGUGCCAGCAGCCGCGGUAAUUC